rnacentral:rRNA from 1 species
UACAGAGGAGCCAAGCGUUGUCCGGAUUUACUGGGCGUAAAGGGCGCGUAGGCGGUCGUGACAAGUCACUUGUGAAAUCUCCGGGCUUAACUCGGAACGGUCAAGUGAUACUGUCGGACUAGAGUACAGAAGGGGCAACUGGAAUUCUCGGUGUAGCGGUGAAAUGCGUAGAUAUCGAGAGGAACACCUGCGGCGAAGGCGGGUUGCUGGGCUGAUACUGACGCUGAGGCGCGAAAGCCAGGGGAGCGAACGGG